rnacentral:lncRNA from 1 species
GUCUGGAGGAGGUGAUAUCUGGCUGAGAUCCGGGAGAAGGGUGGUGUCACUGAUGUCUGGAGAGAGAGUCACCUGGCUGAGGUCUGGGGAAAGGGACAUCUGACCAAAGUUUGGGGAAAGAUCUGUCUCACCAAGGUCUGGAGAAAGUGUCAUCUGGUCGAGGUCUGGGGUAAGGGGAAUUUGACUGAGAUCUGCAAAGAGGGGCAUCUCACUGAGGUCUGGGGAAAGGUUUGUCUGACUGAGUUCUGGAGAGAGGUUUGUCUGGCUGAGGUCUAGAGAAAGGGUUGUAUGGCUGGGGUCUGGAGAAAGGGGCAUCUGACCGAGGGCUGGGGAAAGGUUUGUUUGACUGAGUUCUGGAGAGAGGUUUGUCUGGCUGAAGUCUAGAGAAAGGGUUGUAUGGCUGAGGUCUGGAGAAAUGGGCAUCUGACCGAGGGCUGGGGAAAGGUUUGUCUGACUGAGUUCUGGAGAGAGAGUCAUAUGGCUGAGUUCUGGAGAGAGGUUUGUCUGGCUGAGGUCUAAAGAAAGGGUUGUAUGGCUGAGGUCUGGAGAAAGGGUUGUAUGGCUGAGGUCUGGAGAAAUGGGCAUCUGACCGAGGGCUGGGGAAAGGUUUCUCUGAAUGAGUUCUGGAGAGAGAGUCGUGUGGCUGAGGUCUGGAGAGAGGUUUGUCUGGCUGAGUUCUGGAGAGAGGGUCACCUGGCUGAGGUCUGGAGAGAUGACUGUCUGCCAGACUUCAUGUUCUGAGGAAGGGGACAUUUGACUUAUAUCUGUGGGGAAGGACUUGUGACUUCGGUCAUACUCAAGCAUUUCACUGAGCUCUGGAGAAGAGGAUCUGUG